UACGUAGGUGGCAAGCGUUGUUCGGAAUUAUUGGGCGUAAAGGGCGCGUAGGCGGUUUGUUAAGUCGGCUGUGAAAGCCCGGGGCUCAACCCCGGAGGGUCAGCCGAUACUGGCAGACUAGAGUACGGAAGAGGUAGCUGGAAUUCCAGGUGUAGCGGUGAAAUGCGUAGAUAUCUGGAGGAACACCGGUGGCGAAGGCGGCAUCCUGGACCAACACUGACACUGAGGAGCGAAAGCCAGGGGAGCAAACGGG
rnacentral:rRNA from 1 species